AUUCCAGCUCCAAUAGCGUAUAUUAAAGUUGUUGUGGUUAAAAAGCUCGUAGUUGGAUCUCGGCGGUCUGAGGGCGGUUCGCUUCAGAGCGCUACUGCCCUAUAGACCGUAGUUUUGCCAGAGGUCUCAGGGUGCUCUUAACCGAGUGUCUUGCGAUGCUGGCAGGUUUACUUUGAAAAAAUUAGAGUGCUCAAAGCAGGCUUUUACGCCUGAAUAUUCGUGCAUGGAAUAAUAGAAUAGGAAGUCGUUUCUAUUUUGUUGGUUUUCGGAAAUCGACUUAAUGAUUAAUAGGGACAGUUGGGGGCAUUCGUAUUAACACGUCAGAGGUGGAAUUCUUGGAUUGUGUUACGGCGAACUAGUGCGAAAGCAUUUGCCAAGGAUGUUUUCAUCA
rnacentral:rRNA from 1 species